AGCCAAUGUGGAAAAAUGAUUGACUCAGCCAAGUUUGUCAUCAGGUGCAACCUACCUCCUGUUUCAGACGGAUAUGAGAAACAUGUAUGGGUCUCUAAUGAAACGCCGGCGUCCUUUUGUGGAGAAGCUGAGUAACUAUGGUGACUCCAUGAUGCUUCUUCCUGCCUUCUCCUAU